rnacentral:rRNA from 1 species
UACGUAGGGUGCAAGCGUUAAUCGGAAUUACUGGGCGUAAAGCGUGCGCAGGCGGUUAUUUAAGUCAGGUGUGAAAGCCCUGGGCUUAACCUAGGAAUUGCGCUUGAGACUGGAUAGCUUGGAGUGCGGCAGAGGGAGGUGGAAUUCCACGUGUAGCAGUGAAAUGCCUAGAGAUGUGGAGGAACACCGAUGGCGAAGGCAGCCUCCUGGGCCAGCACUGACGCUCAUGCACGAAAGCGUGGGGAGCAAACAGG